rnacentral:rRNA from 1 species
GAUGAACGCUAGCGGCAGGCUUAAUACAUGCAAGUCGAGGGGCAGCAGUUUUGUAGCAAUACAGAAGCUGGCGACCGGCAAACGGGUGCGGAACACGUACGCAACCUUCCUUUAACUGGGAGAUAGCCCACCGAAAGGUGGAUUAAUAUCCCAUAAUAUAACUGAAUGGCAUCAUUUAGAUAUUAAAGCUCCGGCGGUUAAAGAUGGGCGUGCGUCUGAUUAGGUAGUUGGCGGGGUAACGGCCCACCAAGCCUUCGAUCAGUAGCGGAUGUGAGGGCAUGAUCAGCCACACGGGGACUGAGACACGGGCCCGACUCCUACGGGAGGCAGCAGUGAGGAAUAGUGGUCAAUGGACGCAAGUCUGAACCAGCCAUGCCGCGUGGAGGAUGAAGGCCCUCUGGGUUGUAAACUUCUUUUCUUUGGGACGAAACCCCUGUUUCUACGGGGACUGACGGUACCAGAGGAAUAAGCACCGGCUAACUCCGUGCCAGCCGCCGCAGUAA